rnacentral:misc_RNA from 1 species
UCACCCUCAAGCCCCCUGGCUUGGUGUUGGACGGUCUGGUCUCGGGUUACCCGGGACCCCUCCUAAAAUCAACGACGGUGGCCCUGCGUGACCCCCGGUACACUGAGCUUCUUAACUGAGCACGUACCGGUCCAAGGGUAGGCAGGGUGCCGGUCCUCUUUCCUUCACCAGGAAAACUCUUUCCACAGG